rnacentral:lncRNA from 1 species
AGCGAAAGAGUGAAACUCCGUCUCAAAAUAAAAAAGGAAGGAUAUAUAACAGGAGCCACAUAAAUUUAAAAUGUCCAGUAGCCACAUUUUUAAAAAAAAUCUAAAGAAACAGGUGAAUAACUUGUUAAAAUCCAAUGUGUGUUUUACACAAAGAGCACAUCUCAAUUCAAACUAAUCACAUUCUCAGUGCUCAGCAGACACAUGUGGCUGCUGAUGACUAUGUUGGACAGUAC